rnacentral:rRNA from 1 species
AUUGACCGCUGGCGGCAGGCCUAACACAUGCAAGUCGAACGAGUGGCGGACGGGUGAGUAAUGUCUGGGAAACUGCCCGAUGGAGGGGGAUAAAUACUGGAACCGGUAGCUAAUACCGCAUACUCUCGGAUGUGCCCAGAUGGGAUUAGCUAGUAGGUGGGGUAACGGCUCACCUAGGCGACGCUCCCUAGCGGGUCGGAGAGGAUGACCAGCAACACUGGAACGGAGAAACGGUCCAGACGCCUACGGGAGGCAGCAGUGGGGAAUAUUGCACAAUGGGCGCAAGCCGGAUGAAGCCAUGCCGCGUGUAUGAAGAAGGCCGUCGGGUUGUAAAGUACUUUCAGCGAGGAGGCGUUACUCGCAGAAGAAGCCCCGGCUAACUCCGUGCCAGCCGCCGCGGUAAUAC